rnacentral:rRNA from 1 species
GAUGAACGCUGGCGGCGUGCCUAAUACAUGCAAGUCGAGCGAACAGACGAGGAGCUUGCUCCUCUGACGUUAGCGGCGGACGGGUGAGUAACACGUGGAUAACCUACCUAUAAGACUGGGAUAACUUCGGGAAACCGGAGCUGAUACCGGGUAAUAUAUUGAACCGCAUGGUUCAAUAGUGAAAGACGGUUUUGCUGUCACUUAUAGAUGGAUCCGCGCCGCAUUAGCUAGUUGGUAAGGUAACGGCUUACCAAGGCGACGAUGCGUAGCCGACCUGAGAGGGUGAUCGGCCACACUGGAACUGAGACACGGUCCAGACUCCUACGGGAGGCAGCAGUAGGGAAUCUUCCGCAAUGGGCGAAAGCCUGACGGAGCAACGCCGCGUGAGUGAUGAAGGUCUUCGGAUCGUAAAACUCUGUUAUUAGGGAAGAACAAAUGUGUAAGUAACUAUGCACGUCUUGACGGUACCUAAUCAGAAAGCCACGGCUAACUACGUG